rnacentral:rRNA from 1 species
GCUGGCGGCAGGCCUAACACAUGCAAGUCGAGCGGUAGAGAGAAGCUUGCUUCUCUUGAGAGCGGCGGACGGGUGAGUAAUGCCUAGGAAUCUGCCUGGUAGUGGGGGAUAACGUUCGGAAACGGACGCUAAUACCGCAUACGUCCUACGGGAGAAAGCAGGGGACCUUCGGGCCUUGCGCUAUCAGAUGAGCCUAGGUCGGAUUAGCUAGUUGGUGAGGUAAUGGCUCACCAAGGCGACGAUCCGUAACUGGUCUGAGAGGAUGAUCAGUCACACUGGAACUGAGACACGGUCCAGACUCCUACGGGAGGCAGCAGUGGGGAAUAUUGGACAAUGGGCGAAAGCCUGAUCCAGCCAUGCCGCGUGUGUGAAGAAGGUCUUCGGAUUGUAAAGCACUUUAAGUUGGGAGGAAGGGUUGUAGAUUAAUACUCUGCAAUUUUGACGUUACCGACAGAAUAAGCACCGGCUAACUCUGUGCCAGCAGCCGCGGUAAUACAGAGGGUGCAAGCGUUAAUCGGAAUUACUGGGCGUAAAGCGCGCGUAGGUGGUUUGUUAAGUUGGAUGUGAAAUCCCCGGGCUCAACCUGGGAACUGCAUUCAAAACUGACUGACUAGAGUAUGGUAGAGGGUGGUGGAAUUUCCUGUGUAGCGGUGAAAUGCGUAGAUAUAGGAAGGAACACCAGUGGCGAAGGCGACCACCUGGACUAAUACUGACACUGAGGUGCGAAAGCGUGGGGAGCAAACAGGAUUAGAUACCCUGGUAGUCC